UACGAGUGCCCCAAGCGUUAUCCGGAAUUAUUGGGCGUAAAGGGUGUGUAGGCGGUUGUGUUAGCCUUUUGUUAAAGCUCCCGGCUCAACCGGGAAUAUGCAAAAGAAACGGCACAACUAGAGGGUGCGAGAGGUGAACAGAACUCAUAGUGUAGGGGUGAAAUCCGUUGAUAUUAUGGGGAAUACCAAAAGCGAAGGCAGUUCACUGGCGCAUUCCUGACGCUGAGACACGAAAGCGUGGGUAGCGAAUGGG
rnacentral:rRNA from 1 species